AAUCAACGCUGGCGGCGUGCCUCAGACAUGCAAGUCGAACGCGAAAUUUCCCUUCGGGGAGAAAGUAGAGUGGCGCACGGGUGAGUAACACGUAGGUAAUCUACCUUUGGAUGGGGAAUAACACCGAGAAAUCGGUGCUAAUACCGCAUAAUGCAGCGGCACCUAAUGGUGACAGUUGUUAAAGCGGGGGAUCGCAAGACCUCGCGUCUAAAGAGGAGCCUGCGGCGGAUUAGCUAGUUGGUAAGGUAAUGGCUUACCAAGGCGACGAUCCGUAACCGGCCUGAGAGGGCGGUCGGUCACACUGACACUGACAUACGGGUCAGACUCCUACGGGAGGCAGCAGUCGGGAAUUUUGGGCAAUGGGCGAAAGCCUGACCCAGCAACGCCGCGUGAAGGAUGAAAUCCCUCGGGAUGUAAACUUCGCAAGAACGGGAAGAGUAAGCCGGUGUGAAUGCCACCGGCGAUGACGGUACCGUUUGUAAGCUCCGGCUAACUCCGUGCCAGCAGCCGCGGUAA
rnacentral:rRNA from 1 species